rnacentral:rRNA from 1 species
CAAGUCAGAUGUGAAAGCCUUCUGUUCAACGGAAGAAUUGCAUCUGAAACUGCUAAUCUUGAGUAUAGGAGGGGAGAAUGGAACUUCUGGUGGAGCGGUGAAAUGCGUAGAUAUCAGAAGGAACGCCGGCGGCGAAAGCGAUUCUCUGGCCUAUUACUGACACUCAGUGUGCGAAAGCUAGGGGAGCAAACGGGAUUAGAUACCCCGGUAGUCCUAGCUGUAAACGAUGGGCACUAAGUAGAGGGGAUUACCUAUAUACUCUCUGCCGUAGCUAACGCAUUAAGUGCCCCGCCUGGGGAGUACGGCCGCAAGGCUAAAACUCAAAAGAAUUGACGGGGGCUCGCACAAGCGGUGGAGCAUGUGGCUUAAUUCGAUGCAACGCGAAAAACCUUACCGGGGCUUGACAUGAUAGAAGUAGGAACCUGAAAGGGGGACGAACGGUAUCCAGUCCGUAGCUAUUACAGGUGUUGCAUGGCUGUCGUCAGCUCGUGUCGUGAGACGUUGGGUUAAGUCCCCUAACGAGCGAAACCCUUGUUUUUAGUUACCAGCGGGUUAUGCCGGGUACUCUAGAAAGACUGCCGUCGUCAAGACGGAGGAAGGUGGGGAUGACGUCAAGUCAUCAUGGCCCUUAUGCCCCGGGCUGCACACGUGCUACAAUGGUCGGUACAGACGGAAGCGAAG